UUUCCGUAGGUGAACCUGCGGAAGGAUCAUUGUCGAAACCUGCCCAGCAGAACGACCCGCGAACUUGUAUAAACAACCGGGGGCGGGGGGCGUUCUCGCCCCGUGCCCCCGAACGGCGGGGAGACACUCGUGCCUUCUUGCCGAACAACGAACCCCGGCGCGGUCCGCGCCAAGGAACUUCAACUAAAGAGUGCCUCCGGUCGCCUCGGAAACGGCGUGCGUGCCGGGGGCGAAUCUUGUGCAAAACCAUAACGACUCUCGGCAACGGAUAUCUCGGCUCUC
rnacentral:misc_RNA from 1 species